rnacentral:rRNA from 1 species
AUGAACGCUGGCGGCGUGCCUAAUACAUGCAAUUCGAGCGAACAGAUAAGGAGCUUGCUCCUUUGACGUUAGCGGCGGACGGGUGAGUAACACGUGGGUAACCUACCUAUAAGACUGGGAUAACUUCGGGAAACCGGAGCUAAUACCGGAUAAUAUUUCGAACCGCAUGGUUCGAUAGUGAAAGAUGGUUUUGCUAUCACUUAUAGAUGGACCCGCGCCGUAUUAGCUAGUUGGUAAGGUAACGGCUUACCAAGGCGACGAUACGUAGCCGACCUGAGAGGGUGAUCGGCCACACUGGAACUGAGACACGGUCCAGACUCCUACGGGAGGCAGCAGUAGGGAAUCUUCCGCAAUGGGCGAAAGCCUGACGGAGCAACGCCGCGUGAGUGAUGAAGGUCUUCGGAUCGUAAAACUCUGUUAUUAGGGAAGAACAUACGUGUAAGUAACUGUGCACGUCUUGACGGUACCUAAUCAGAAAGCCACGGCUAACUACGUG